UUAGCCGAGGGCUUUUGGCGACAAUUAACAGAAUUCCUGCUGAUAACUUUUUUUUGUCCUCUCCCUCAGAAUAUUUUUGUAGCGCACUCUAAGUGGCUACAGAGCGGCGCUGGAGGUGGGUGGUUACAAAUAUUUGAUGAGCGUGUCGCGGAAUGGCUUUCAUUUCUCUUUAAAGUAUGCUUAAAAAAAAAAAAUGCACAAAGCCCCCAAAACUCCAUCUCUUUGGUAUUCCGAUUGGUGAUCGGAGCAACACAAAAACUGACUUUUGUUACCAGACAGUCAUACCCCAGAAGCAACCCAAUACUAACUUCUGUGCGUCGGCUCAGUGUGUGAGGUUGUUCUAAUUUCUGCCGUUCAAUUUAACCUCAGGAGACAACACAGCUGACAACAAACAGGAUUUUGUGAUGUUACUGAGAGCAGAACUUGGCAUGCAGCUAGUGAAGCAGUCUGUAAUCCCACUGGAUGAAAAUGUUCAACGAUCCAGGAAAGCCUAUUUCCUCCCUGGCUCCAGCCAGUGCCAAGGAGAGGAGAGGUCCCGAAGAGAAAUGUGCCCCCUUGUUGGCCCCCCRAGACUCUCACUCUCUGUUCUGAUUUCUUUUGAUAGGUUGAGGAAGGACAAGCAAGUGGAUUUAUUUUUUUAAUUGGAUUUUAAUGCCUCCAGACCUCCUUAAAUUACUUCUCUGGAAAAGCAAUGCCAACUACUCAAAGCCUAUUCACUUGAAUGGAUAAAAGGACUCAUGUUCAACUUCCUGACAUUAUUUUCAGUCUAUUUUACCCAUCUGAAAGCUAGAAUAUGCCUAAGCUGCAGUUCUGUGGCCCCUGCUGUGUUGGGUAGGUCGUGAGGAAUGAGUGGGAUUCCUGAGAAAAGCCUAUCUUUCCCUGCCUUCUCCUUGCUCAAACCCAGCUGUAUCCUCGGAGAUUGACUUGCCAGCAAGUAUUUUCUCAGACCAGAAGGGGCAACGUACUUCAUCCAGAAGUCUGGAGAUGCUAGUGUGGCCUGGGAAGGAUGGGCCUGAUGACAGCUGUAUUAAGAAAACUAAUGGCAAUUGUCUUCCCCUUGGUAAAUUUUAAUGUCAUCCAAGAAAAAAAAAUUGUUGGCAGAGUCCUUCGUUUUUAUUCAUUUCUGUCUAAGGAGUAAUAUGCCUGGUAGGCUAGCAAAAGAAGACGUUUAUUACAAAAAAGCAAUAUUUAAUAUAAAAAAACACUUUUCUAAAAGAAAAAAAUUGUUUUUAAUGGGGGGAGAAAUCAUCAAAAGCAUGCGGUUUGUCAAGCAGCUCUAAAAUACAAAGCUUCCACAGGUUUGAAAGACCUUUCCUCAUACUCUGUAUGACAAAAAAGCAUAAAGAAAGUUAGGAAGGGAUUCCUCGGGUUCCCCAAGUUCAAUGACUGCAAUUAAACUGCAGCUAUGCUGCAAUUACAUAGCUUUUGCACUGUUUUUUUUACAUGGGCU
rnacentral:lncRNA from 1 species